rnacentral:lncRNA from 1 species
UUCUUUUCGGGAAGCUUAUCUCAAGAGAACCCAGAUGUUAAGCGAGCUUGGCUGGAACAAUCUUGAGAUGGGUGACCGACCAGGAAGUUAUUCCCGGGUACGCAUGAGUUAGCACAAAGUGCGCAGAAAAAACUUGUAUUGGUUGUGUGAGGAAAAUCUUGAUGUCCUAGAGAGCAGCCACGUGUUAACGGGCUCGAAGAUUUGAUAGAAUACUCAUACCAACAAGUUGCAACUUCUUUUUCAAAAAGACUUGUGUUGGUUGUGUGAGGAAAGUCUUGAUCUCUUAGAGAGAAGUCUUGAUGUCCUAGAUAGCAGCCACGUGUUAACGGGCCUGAGGAUUUGAUAGAAUACUCAUACCAA